rnacentral:rRNA from 1 species
GACAGAGGGGGCAAGCGUUGCUCGGAAUCACUGGGCGUAAAGGGCGCGUAGGCGGGAUGGCAAGUCGGUCGUGAAAUCCCUGGGCUCAACUCAGGGGGGUCGGCCGAUACUGCCGUUCUUGAGGGCUUCAGAGGGACGCGGAAUUCCAGGUGGAGCGGUGAAAUGCGUAGAUAUCGGGAGGAACAUCGAUGGCGAAGGCAAUCACCUGGGCCUGAACUGACACUGUGACACGAAAGCGUGGGUAGCAAACAGG